UCCAAAUUGGUGUAGUGGCUAACAUUUGACGUUCUCAGAGUCGAAAGACGUUGAAGUUGUCAAGCUCGGGGUUCGAUUCCCUGAUUUGGAG
rnacentral:tRNA from 1 species